GCCGGUACUACCGUAACUGGGACAGCCGCCACUGCCGCCGCUCCCUCGCCUACACUCGGCACUACCGCAGGGGGCGCGACAUGCUCGACACCCGCCUGGGCCGCCGCCUGCUGACGCUCCAAAGCCUCCUGGAGCCGCUGAAUCUGCUCCCCUUGGCGUUGAACAGACUCCGCUUGUUGCCGCACUACGCCAAUAAGCGCGGCCAUCUACUCCCUAAGCUCU
rnacentral:lncRNA from 1 species